rnacentral:rRNA from 1 species
GAUGAACGCUGGCGGCGUGCCUAAUACAUGCAAGUCGAGCGAACAGACGAGGAGCUUGCUCCUCUGACGUUAGCGGCGGACGGGUGAGUCACACGUGUAUAACCUACCUAUAAGACUGGGAUAACUUCGGGAAACCGGAGCUAAUACCGGAUAAUAUAUUGAACCGCAUGGUUCAAUAGUGAAAUACGGUUUUGCUGUCUCUUCUCGAUGGAUACGCGCCGCAUUAGCUAGUUGGUAAGGUAACGGCUUACCAAGGCAACGAUGCGUAGCCGAACUGAGAGACGGAUAGGCCACACUGGAACUGGGACGCGGUCCAUACGCCUAAGGGAGGCAGCAGUAGGGAAUCGUCCGCAAUGGGCGAAAGCCUGACGGAGCAACGCCGCGUGAGUUAUGAAAGUCUUCGGAGCGUAAAGCUCUGUUAUUAGGUAAGAACAAAUGUGGAAGUAACUAUGCACGUCUUGACGGUACCUAAUCAGAAAGCCACGGCUAACUACGUG